rnacentral:rRNA from 1 species
UGGGGAAUAUUGGACAAUGGGGGCAACCCUGAUCCAGCCAUGCCGCGUGCGUGAAGAAGGCCUUAGGGUUGUAAAGCGCUUUUGUCAGGGAAGAUAAUGACUGUACCUGAAGAAUAAGCCCCGGCUAACUCCGUGCCAGCAGCCGCGGUAAGACGGAGGGGGCUAGCGUUGUUCGGAAUUACUGGGCGUAAAGGGCGCGUAGGCUGUCUUGUGUGUCAGGGGUGAAAUCCCAGGGCUUAACCCUGGAACUGCUUCUGAAACUGCAAGACUAGAGUGAGUGAGAGGCGGACGGAAUUCCGAGUGUAGCAGUGAAAUGCGUAGAUAUUCGGAGGAACAUCGGUGGCGAAGGCGGUUCGCUGGUGCUCAACUGACGCUGAGGCGCGAAAGCGUGGGGAGCAAA